CUGGCACAUAGGGGUUAUAUAAGACACAAUUAAUUAGAAUAAGGGCGCCAAAAAUUGAUGCAGCCAAUCAGAAUCAGUUAAAAUAAAAAACGAAGGGGGGAAAGUAUAUAAUUCCGUUUUUAAAAACGGUCACGUGAUUUUCGGCACUUCAACUUGGGUAUUACCCAUGAGUAAAUGCUGCCAUGAAUAAUGGUCAGGAAAAAGGAAAAUUUGCUUCAUACUUACCGUAAUUUUCUUUUCCUGAUAAAUUAUUCAUGGCAGCAUUACGUUCCCACCCAUAUACUAUAAGAGUUGUG